CCUCCCUUGCUCUUCUCCUCCAUCGACGAUGCCUUCUCCUCCAUCGACGACGCCUUCUCCUCCUUAGCGCUUCUCCUUGAUCGACGAUGUAACGAGAGAUAUAAAAGAACGAAGCUCCAAAUCUGAUUCAGAAUAAUUAGGGCAUUGGCCUUCACUUCGAAUUGGGGAAAGUAUCUUCUUAGCUUCUAAAUCUAUCAAGCAUUCAGGCAGGCUAUCUACGAUAGAGAAUCCAGAAAACAGGAUUGAUUAGCGAAAAUGACAGGGAUACAAUUCUAAAAGGUCUAGAUGAGAUAGAAAGGCAGAUUGAAGCAGGCAAGUUCUUGUGGAGGACUGACAGAUAGGAUGUGCACAUGAACAUUGAAGCAGCUCUUACUGAUUUAGUGGGUGAAUCUGCAAAGCAGCUCUUCUUACACAUUAUCCUACAAUUAGUUUGGAUAUGCUGUCACGUGUUCAUUCUCGGAGCUCUAUGUACAACAAUGAUGCCUUGAUUGCUAAGAGGUGCCAUUUACAUAUGCUAAUAUAUCGAU